rnacentral:rRNA from 1 species
AGGACGUCAUAGAGGGUGAGAAUCCCGUAUGUGACUGGGUGUCCACGCCCGUGUAAAGCUCUUUCGACGAGUCGAGUUGUUUGGGAAUGCAGCUCAAAAUGGGUGGUAAAUUUCAUCUAAAGCUAAAUAUUGGCCAGAGACCGAUAGCGCACAAGUAGAGUGAUCGAAAGAUGAAAAGCACUUUGGAAAGAGAGUUAAACAGUACGUGAAAUUGUUGAAAGGGAAGCGCUUGCAAUCAGACUUGCGCGCCGUUGAUCAUCCAGGGUUCUCUCUGGUGCACUCUGCGGCGCUCAGGCCAGCAUCGGUUCGGGUGGUGGGAUAAAGGCCUUGGGAAUGUAGCUCCUCUCGGGGAGUGUUAUAGCCCUCGGUGCAAUGCCGCCUACCUGGACCGAGGACCGCGCUUCGGCUAGGAUGCUGGCGUAAUGGUUGUAAGCGACCCGUCUUGAAACACGGACCAAGGAGUCUAACAUCUAUGCGAGUGUUUGGGUGUCAAACCCAUGCGCGUAAUGAAAGUGAACGUUGGUAUGAACCCUUAAGGGUGCAAUAUCGACCGAUCCUGAUGUCUUCGGACGGAUUUGAGUAUGAGCAUAGCUGUUGGGACCCGAAAGAUGGUGAACUAUGCCUGAAUAGGGUGAAGCCAGAGGAAACUCUGGUGGAGGCUCGCAGCGGUUCUGACGUGCAAAUCGAUCGUCAAAUUUGGGUAUAGGGGCGAAAGACUAAUCGAA